AUAUCUCUCCGUACGGGAAGGAUGAGAAGCUUCGACUAAGGUUCGAUUCGAGCGAAGCGAGAAAGCGUUGCCGCAGGCAACGACCCGAAGGGCGAAGCGCGCAGCGCUGAGUCAUCCUUCCCCCACCACCA
rnacentral:sRNA from 1 species